GUUUCCUAUUCAGAGUGUAAUAACCCUAUCUUCACAUCCAGCCAAAGGAGCUGUCACUGGGAUGAAACACUGCCUGCCACGGGACGUCAAGGAAAUUGUGAUAUGGAUUUUGCCGAUACGGUCGGUUGUUGUCCUUUGCUGCUAAACUGUGCUGAACGAGCUAUUUGAUGCAACUAAAGAGCUGCAUGGCCUCCUCUGACAAGCAGAUGAGUGUCUCCCAGUGAGAUUGUGUGUGUUGUGACAUUUCAGCAAUGCUUGACAUGAGAAGGAUGAUUGCAGACUGGAAAACGCAGAGCAAGCACGGAGGCAGGAACUCACUGACGUGCUGCCACACGUCCAUCUUUGGGCUGAUAAAACCCACAUCCACGGGCCGUCUGGAGAAGAAAGGGAUUUUGCUCACGUGAUGUCAAGGAUUAAACUCAGUGGGAUCAGCUGCGAAAAGACAGCCGCCCCAAAGGGCUUGCUCCAUUUAUGCUGUUCUACCCACACCCCACCCUCCACACCCACACACUUUAAAUUCCACUGUAUGGACCCCUUUGUCAAAUUUAUUCACCCUUGGAGUCCUUUCAACCAAAAAAAUGUCUUUCUCAGCCAGUGCUAUAGUAGCCACUACCUGGGCCUCAGGAAGAGAGAGCUGUCAAGACUGGGACUGUUUAGAAGAAAUACUCAAAGAAGACUCGCCUCCCUCCUCUUGGCACUUCAUCCAGCCUCCAGUACACCACCUUCAGCUCUGCUAUAACGCCAUUACACAGCACAUUCCUCUGAAGCUCAGGAGAUGUGAAGCCUCAGGCCGGAACUGAGGGAACGUAUAAACCUGAGGAAGCUGUGGUAUCUUGCCUCAAGGACAGCUGGGAUAUGUAGGUAUGUGUGCUUGUGCGUGUUUGUGUGCGUGUGUGUGAAUUUGUGUGUGUUUGUAUGUGUAAUGGUACAUGUCUGCCAUCCCUCGUGUGUGUGCAUAUGAGAAACCACAAGGUUUGAAUUCACAGGCAAG